AUGAACGCUGGCGGUAUGCAUAACACAUGCAAGUCGAACGAAAGCGAAACUACGUAGCGUUGAACAUUGUUCAGCUACUUCCUUUAGUGGCGAACGGGUGAGUAAUACGUGAGAAUUCUACCCCUAGGAGGAGGAUAACCGCUGGAAACAGUUGCUAAUACUCCGUAUGUCGUGAGAUUAUAUAAUGUAAAGCCUAACGGUUUUUGCCUAGGGUUGUGCUCACGGCUGAUUAGCUAGUUGGUAAAGUAAUAGCUUACCAAGGCCACGAUCAGUAGCUGGUUUGAGAGAAUGGUCAGCCACACUGGGACUGAGAUACGGCCCAAACUCCUUCGGGAGGCAGCAGUGAGGAAUUUUCCGCAAUGGUCGAAAGACUGACGGAGCAAUACCGCGUGGGGGAUGAAUAACCGGAUGGUUGGUAAACCUCUUUUCUCAAGAAAGAAGUCUGACGGUACUUGAUGAAUAAGCAUCGGCUAACUCCGUGCCAGCAGCCGCGGUAAUACGGGGGAUGCAAGCGUUAUCCGGAAUUAUUGGGCGUAAAGCGUCUGUAGGCUGUUUAUAAUAGUCCUCUGUUAAAUCCUAGGGCUUAACCCUAGAAAAGCGGUGGAAUACUAAUGAACUAGAGUAUGGCAGGGGUAGAGGGAAUUUCUAGUGAAGCGGUGGAAUGCGUAGAUAUUAGAAAGAACACCGGUGGCGAAAGCGCUCUACUGGACCAUUACUGACACUCAGAGGCGAAAGCUAGGGUAGCAAAAGGGAUUAGAUACCCCUGUAGUCCUAGCCGUAAACGAUGGAUACUAGAUGUUGUGCAUAAUGUACAGUAUCGUAGCUAACGCGUUAAGUAUCCCGCCUGGGGAGUACGCUCGCAAGGGUGAAACUCAAAGGAAUUGACGGGGGCCCGCACAAGCGGUGGAGCAUGUGGUUUAAUUCGAUGCAACGCGAAGAACCUUACCAGGGCUUGACAUACUACGAAUUCUUUUGAGAAAGAGAAGUGCCUUCGGGAACGUAGAUACAGGUGGUGCAUGGCUGUCGUCAGCUCGUGUCGUGAGAUGUUGGGUUAAGUCCCGCAACGAGCGCAACCCUUAUUUUUAGUUACUAAUUCGUUAGGUUCUCUAGAAAGACUGCCGGUGACAAACCGGAGGAAGGUGAGGAUGACGUCAAGUCAGCAUGCCCCUUAUGUCCUGGGCUACACACGUGCUACAAUGGUUAAGACAAAGAGUCGCGAGCUCGCGAGAGUCAGCUAAUCUCAUAAACUUAGCCUAAGUUCAGAUUGUAGGCUGCAACUCGCCUACAUGAAGUUGGAAUCGCUAGUAAUCGCUGGUCAGCCAUACAGCGGUGAAUCCGUU
rnacentral:rRNA from 1 species